CAGGCCUAACACAUGCAAGUCGGACGAGAAGGUUCCUUCGGGAACUGGAGAGUGGCGCACGGGUGAGUAACGCGUGGGGACCUACCUCUUAGUGGGGGAUAACGGUUGGAAACGACCGCUAAUACCGCAUACGCCCUUCGGGGGAAAGAUUUAUCGCUAAGAGAUGGACCCGCGUUGGAUUAGAUAGUUGGUGAGGUAACGGCUCACCAAGUCAGCGAUCCAUAGCUGGUUUGAGAGGAUGAUCAGCCACACUGGGACUGAGACACGGCCCAGACUCCUACGGGAGGCAGCAGUGGGGAAUAUUGGACAAUGGGGGCAACCCUGAUCCAGCCAUGCCGCGUGAGUGAAGAAGGCCUUCGGGUUGUAAAGCUCUUUCAGAUGCGAAGAUGAUGACGGUAACAUCAGAAGAAGCCCCGGC
rnacentral:rRNA from 1 species